rfam:Homo sapiens chromosome 4, GRCh38 reference primary assembly.
GCCAGGUGUGGUGGUGCAUGCCUGUAGUCCCAGCUACCUGGGAGGCUGAGGCUGGAGGAUCACUUGUGCCCAGGAGUUCAAGGCUGCAAUGAGUUAUGGUCACCCCAGUGCACUCUAGCCUUGGCAACAGAGUGAGACUUUGUCUCUA